ensembl:lncRNA
CACAAAAGUGUGUGUUUUCCCUAGAAAUUCAGAUGCACAACUCAACGCCACCGCCGCUUGCCACCCCGAAGCCCCGCGCCUGCCCCAAGACUCCCGUCCGCGCGGGCGCACAACUUCGCGUCUCCACACACAGGAGCCCAGGGAUGUCGAGGCGGUCCGUCCCCGGCCCUUCGCUGCCUCCUCAGAACCCCGGUCCUGCCCGGCCCCGGGCGUGCGGAGCGAGGGCUGGGGGUGCGCCGGCGGGAGGCGGGCACCCGGUCCGUGCGCGCCCAGCCGCACUCACGCCCCGCACACCCGGCGAGUCCCAGCCCCAGCGCGCAGCCCGAGCCGGUUCCGAGCAGCCUGGCGAUCGCCGGCCGCCUGGGCCUCCGUCCCCGGCCGCCAAGGGAAGCGCAAGCCGAGUUGGCGGCGCCAAACCCCUCGCCGCGCUCGUCCGACCGGGGCGGACCCUUUAAGGGAGAAGCCCCAGCAGCCAGCACCCCAGGCUCGCGCCCAGAGAAUCCGCGGGAAGCGGGAGGAAGCCCCGGGGCCAGCGGGCGCCGGGCUCCGGCCCCAAACUUACCGGGCGCUGCGAGCCCCGCCGCCGCCGCCGCCGCCGCCGGAGGACGCGCCGCCGCUGCCGCUGUUGCUGUCGCCGCCGCCCGGCAGGGCCGGCUCGGGCCGGGAGAGCGCAGCGAGGGCGCCGAGAUCCGCUCGGCUCCGGCUGCGGUUCCUGCUCCGCGCCGGCCGGGGCUGGAGUCACCGCGCUGCGCCGGCGCUGCUCGCUCGCUCGCUCCGCCGCCCGGCCGCUCGCUUUUUUAAUGUCCACAGACAGUGGAAAGGAACUCGGCGUUAGGGGGUAAGUGAAUCAACUCGCCCGGAGCCGAGCAAGUUGAAGUGUCAGAUUACAUUGGCUAUUCUAUUUCCAAAGGGCCCCGCGCCGCCGGCCGCCCGCAAAAGCCGGCGCGGAGCGAGCCCGGGAGCGGAGCGCCGAGCCGCCACCACCGCCGCCGCCACCGCGCCGACGACGACUGCGGCCGUGCGGGGCUCCGUUCGGCUCGUCGCUCUGCGCUCCGGCCGCGCGCGCUCUUUCCCCUUUCUUUCCGCCUCUCCUCUUUCCUCCUCGCCUUCCCGUUCCCUUCUUUCGCUCGCUUUCUUCCUCGCCCUACCGUAGGGGCGCUCUGCACGCUUGGCGAAACCCUCUGGGCUCCGAGCGGCUCCGCUCCGCGUCGGCCCCGCCCCCCGCCAGCCGCUCGCUCACCUCUCUCUCUCCCUCUCUCUCUCUGUCUUCUCUCCCCUUUCCCCGCCACCCCCAGCGCCCCCCGCCCAGGGAAGUUUGGGGAAGAGAAGAAAGGCCGAGCCUGGGACGGGACCACUCUGGGGAGGAAGCCAAACCCCUCGGCUCACCGGCGCGCCCCCAGCCCCUCGCGCUCGCACGCCAGCGCCUGGAGUGCACGCGGGGCCGCGGGCGCUGUCAGCAGAUCCUGAGUGAUGGCCGCGCCCAGCAUGACGGGAGGCACAGCGCAGUGACCAAGCAUCUGGGUACGCACUGGACACCUGUGUUUGAAUCCUGGUGUGCAACAGUGGAACCAGGGAAAAGUUUCGUUUCCUGCUCUGUAAAAUGCCGGCUGCCAUUGUGCCUGGAGAAGCUGCCUCCUGGGAUCACGACUGCUCUGAUUAAGCGAGUUAUCACCUGUGCAGCAGAUAGCAAAGCACCGGGCAUGGAGGUGGGUAAGGGGCAGGUGCUCCCAUUUGACAGAUGGGAAAGUUGAGUCCCGGCAAGGGCAAGGGUAUGCCCGAAGAAGUCCUUUCAAGUCAGCUCCAUCUGAUUCUAACACCACGGCCUGGGUCCCUAGCAACCCUCCCCAACCUCCUUCCAUGAACAAGCAUCCAGUUCAGACCUUCUCGGUCCCCCAGCCCUCUCCUCCAGGGCUCACAUUUGUAAAACCUCUCCCGACCCGGCACACUUAUUAGCUGAGUGACCCUGGGCAAAAUGAGCUGGGCGAGGGCGCCCUGCCCUCCAGGAAGCAAGGCCAGCCGCCGAGUCCGCUCCCCCGACCUUGCUGGGGGUGACCAGCCCUGAGCAAUCAGUCCCUUUUAUGACCACCAAUUUUCUCUCUCUCUCUGAUUCUCUCUCCUGAAGCCUGGUGCGGCCGCUCAGUCUCCUGAUUUCAUUCUGCUCCUGUCUGGCUGCCCAGCCCUGCGGAACAUUUGUCAAGUGCAAUCUCCGUCUCGCGCCCCCACCUUGCCCUCUGCAGAGUGCUGAACGGGCAAGCAGGAUGGGCCGGCUCGGGGCUGCAGACAUCACUCUCCCGUGAUAAGGGCCAGCGCGCACCCUUGAACGGGGCGCGUGUCAUUCCUCACGAGCGCCAGGCAGCCAGGCAGGCAAGGCCGCCUCCAGACACCAAGUGGGGCGGGGCGAGCCGGGGGCGGUGCACAAGGCAGGAGCUGCCGACUGCAGGGAUGGCCAGGGUCAACCAUGGGCUCUGGAGCCCUGUGGCCUGGGAGGAGGCAGAUUUGCUUCCUACAGGGUGCUGGGCACAGGGUGCUGGAGUAACGGGGUUCCCAGUGCUGUGUGGUUUCAAACACGCAGCCUGGCAUGGACUGGGGGUGCAGGCCAUCAGCCUCAGCUCAGUUGCCGUUGUGGCUACCAACGAUUGGGUUGCAUUUCAGUCCAGGUAGAUGCCAGGUGGGAAGUGCUUAAAACAGGCCCGCAGGGGCCCGUGGGCAUCUCAGAGGUUACAGCAGUCCUUGUUCACUGAGCGCCUGCUA